rnacentral:rRNA from 1 species
AGGGAAAGAUGAAAAGCACUUUGGAAAGAGAGUUAAACAGUACGUGAAAUUGUCAAAAGGGAAGCACUGGAGGUUAGACGUGUGUCGUUGGAUUCAGCUUUUUCUAAAAGUGUAUUUCCGGCGGUACAGGCCAGCAUCGGUUUUCUGGGCCGGAUAAGGGGGAGAGGAACGUAGCUUUCUUCGGAAAGUGUUAUAGCCUCUUUCUUGAUACGGCUUGGGGGACCGAGGCAUGCAGCGCGCCUUUUAGGCGGACCUUCGGGUACCUUCGCGCUUAGGAUGCUGGCGUAAUGGCCUUCAGUGACCCGUCUUGAAACACGGACCAAGGAGUCUAACAUGUCUGCGAGUCUUUGGGUGGCAAACCCGUGGGCGCAAUGAAAGUGAAUGCAGGUGGGAUCCUUCGGGAGCACCAUCGACCGGUCUCGAAGCUUUAUGUGGAAGGAUCUGAGUAAGAGCAUAUAUGUUGGGACCCGAAAGAUGGUGAACUAUGCCUGAAUAAGGGUGAAGCCAGAGGAAACUCUUGGUGGAGGCUCGUAGCGGGUUCUGACGUGCAAAUCGAUCGUCAAAUUUGGGUAUAGGGGGCGAAAGACUAAUCGAACCAUUAAAUUUACUAGGUGGGUUAAAAAGGGGAAUGGAAAAGGUACCCCUAGUCGACGUCAAGGUCGGCGACACUGUCAAAUUGCGGGAACUUCCUAAAGACUUUUUGCUACCAAGCAGGGCUGGAAACAGACUCUGUGGCCGGGGUAAUGACCUAGGGUAUGGUAAAAACGCAAAGUAUGUAACAAUGGAUAAUCCGCAGCCAAGCCCUAAGUGUGUUUUUACAUAUAUGGGUGCUGUUCAGAGACUAUAUGGCAGUGGGUCUUGCUCGAAAGAGACAAGGCUUAAGAUAGAGUCCGUCCCCCG